rnacentral:lncRNA from 1 species
GGGUUAGGGUUUCAGUGUACCUACGCAACCGGAGCCCGGUGCCGGAUAGGAUGCCGUAACAGAGGCCAGAGAGAGAGAAGAAGACAACGAUACACUGUCAACGACGGCGAGCAGUGGCGGAGGACAGACUAGGACAGACGGACAACAGAGAACAAACUCACAUAUCACCAGGAUCUAGAUAGGGGAGAUGGGAAGGAGAGCUGGAG